UUGGAAUGAGUUUAUCACUACACUGUAAAUGCUAACAUUCAAAUUAAUUAAAUUUGAUAAGUGAACUAAACUCAGUUUUCAUCAACCUGUUGUGAACACUACUUUUAAAUAAGUAAGUAGUAAUUUGGGGUUGGAGAACUUGCUUAACUUGAUAUAUCCCAGUUAAGUCAAAUUAGAAAAAAUAAUUUAUUGUACCCAGUGUCCUUUGCGCGUUCUAUCAGACAUGCGCAGAUCUCCCCUGCCUACUUUCGCGCUCUUUCCAACACCUUUCUCAUUUAUUUUCGCCAUUGUGGGUUUAUUUGUCCUCAGCACACUGAUUUGGCUGAAGCAAAUGGUCAGAAGUCCACACAUACCUCAGUCUCUGCAAUUACAGGUCAACCAGAGCAGUAUUCUCUAAUGCAGUGGACUUGUAAGUACUGCACAUUUUCUGCUGGAAAGAGAGGCUACUUGCUUAAGCAUUACCGCUUAAAACAUGGAUACCACACUCGGACAUCCCUACUCCCCAUGUCUUCAUAAGGACUGCCUCUGCACAUUUAAAUCUUUUAAUGCACUCAAAGUACACCUAUCGACAUGCCACUCUCAAAAAGAUGCAGACAAAAGUGGAGAAACUGCAUUUGACUGUCAGUUGUGCAACUUUGUGGAGCCUUGUUAAGAAGCAGACUUCUUUACCCAUUUGCGAAGACAUCUUAAGCUGAGGCAAAUGGUUACUUGCAUAUAUCAAGACUGUAACUUUCAGAGCACUGUUUAUUCUACCUUCACUGCACACAAAAGCAGAAAUGUGAAAUGAGUUUGAACCAUAGUAUGGGUAGGACAUUUGUGUCUAAAUCAUUCAAUCCCAAUAAAAGUUGCUUCAAUCAAAAAAAAUAUUUUUAAUGAAAGAAAAAGAACCUCUUGCUAAAAUGUUUUUUUGAAAAUAUAUAUUUUUUGAAAUAUAUAUAUUUUUUUAUUGACG